ACCGGGGUGGCGAAAAGGGAAACGCGCUCGUAAGAGCGAGCUCUUAGUAGCUCUUGAGGGUUCGAGUCCUUCCCCCGGCACCA
rnacentral:tRNA from 1 species